rnacentral:rRNA from 1 species
CUAUAGCGUAGUGAAUCAUCGAAUCUUUGAACGCAUAUUGCACUUUUAAGUAUUCUUAAAAGUAUAUUUAUUUGAGUGUCAUUUAUAACAUCUCAUAAAAAGUAUUUUUAUGGUAAAUGAUUAUUUAAAUUACUCUUUUUUAAAGAGGAAAUAUAAAUAAUUUAAAUAGAUAACUUUUCAAAAAUAAGAAUAUUUCUUUUAUAUUCUAUUUUAUAAAAUAAUAUAUCUAAAAUGAUAGUAAGAAUAGAAAUAUUCUCUUUCAUUUUUAUUAUUAUUUUAAGAAAUGAAUGAAAGAAACCUUGUUUUAUAAAGAAAGGAAGAAGAAAACUUUACAUAUAAAGUCUCUUUUUAUGACCUCAAAUUAAAUAAGAUUACCCGCUGAAUUUAAGCAUAUCAAUAAGCGGAGG